rnacentral:rRNA from 1 species
UACGUAGGUGGCAAGCGUUGUCCGGAAUUAUUGGGCGUAAAGCGCGCGCAGGCGGUCCUUUAAGUCUGAUGUGAAAGCCCACGGCUCAACCGUGGAGGGUCAUUGGAAACUGGGGGACUUGAGUACAGAAGAGAAGAGUGGAAUUCCACGUGUAGCGGUGAAAUGCGUAGAGAUGUGGAGGAACACCAGUGGCGAAGGCGACUCUUGGUCUGUAACUGACGCUGAGGCGCGAAAGCGUGGGGAGCAAACAGG